rnacentral:lncRNA from 1 species
UUCUGAAGAGAUUAAAGAUCUUUUGACAAAUUAUAUGGGUGUUAGGGCAGUUACGAGUGUAGAGAAGUAUUUGGGUCUACCUACUAUGGUGGAGAGAAAGAAGAAAGAGGCUUUUCAAAGGCUCUGCGGUAGUUUGAGAAUAAGAGUUAACGGAUGGAGGAGCCGGAUGCUUUCUCAAGGGGGUAAAAAAGUUUUCAUCAAAGCUGUGUUACAGGCUAUACUGAUUUAUUCCAUGUUUUGUUUUCUUCUUCCAAAGUCAUUAUGUGCUUACAUGGAAAAAAUCUUGAAUCGAUUUUGGUGGGGUAAAGGAAGUAAUCGGCGUGGGUUGCACUGGGGUUGUUGGACCGAUUUAUGCCAGGCUAAAGAGAAUGAUGGCUUAAACUUCCGCGAUAUGGGGAAAUUUAACAUUGAUUUGUUAGCUAAACAAGGAUGGCGAUUAGUUACUAAUCCGGAUUCGUUGUUAGCUAGAAUUUAUAAAGCAAAAUACUACCAUCGGUCAAGUUUUGGGAAGCAAGACUUGGGACUUACGCUUCGUAUACUUGGAAAAGUAUAUAUACAGUACCGGGAUUGUUAGAGCAACGAAUGGGCUGGAGAGUAGGUACAGGAGAGUAUCUCGAUCUGGCAUGAUCGUUGGCUGCCGCAAAGGGCUAGAAACAAGGUCAAUACACGUCCCAUUAAUAAUUUGGUCUAAACAGUGGAUCAGUUAAUCAACAAAGAAAAAUAAAUGUGGAAACAAGAGAUAAUUACUAGUAUUUUUUCUGUUGAAGAUGCGGAGGCGAUCAAAUGUAUUCCCUUAUCUAAAAAUGAAUGUACAGACUGUUAGGUGUAGCGUGGGGAGAAAACAGGUCAAUAUACAGUUCGUAGUGGCUACAAAGAGCUUAUGACCCGAAAUGAUAAUACUGAAAUCCCAGAUAACAUACAAAUGAUUUAUAAAAAAUAUGGUCUUUUUCUAUACCUUCUAAGAUUAAGCUAACGAUGUGGAGAGCGUUACGAGAUUUCAUUCCAACAGGCUAGUAACUCUUUAACAAGAGGGUUAGAAAUACUACAAGUGGUCCUCGUUGUAAUGCUGAAUCAGAGACGUUUCUACACGUGAUUGCAGAUUGUAACCAAGUCAAAAACAUCUGGGAAGCAAUAGGUAUUUUUUAGUCUAAUAAUAUGAAUUUAGAGACUUUUUGGGAUUGAACUAUUCACCUGGUCUAUGGCAGAGCAGAGAGGUUCUUGGAAAAGGUUGUCAUAGCGGUUUGGGCAAUCUGUUGGGCACGUAAUAGACAAGUUAUGGAAGGUAAAUUAGUAAUAAGGCAAGAGACUACGACAAAAAUUAUAAGUACGCUUGCUGAAAUUGAGGUGUUAAAGGAGAAAUUACCUGUUGUAAGGGAGGUGGACAUAGACCGAUGGAAACCCUCACAAGCAUCGUGGGUGAUAUUAAACUUUGAUGCAGCCUACAAAAUCCAAACAAAAAAGUCAUGCUCUGGAUUUAGCAUUAGAAAUAAAAAAAGGGGAAGUAAUGGGUAGUGGAGUUACCCUUUAUACCAAUAUCUUAUAUGCGUUUUUGGCAGGAGCUACAGCCUAUUACCAAUGGCUCAUUUUGGCUAAAGAAAUGGGGUUUGUAAAAAUGGAGGUUGAGGGGGACUCUCAGACGACAAUCGAGAAAAUCAAUUAGGAUGGAAAUAGUAGAGCUGAUCUGGACUCAAUUAUAGCAGAUAUCAAAGCCAUUGGAAGGUCUUUCCAUCAGAUUAAAUUUAAACAUGUUAGAAGGGAAGCUAAUCGAGUGGCACAUUUCAUCGCUAGGGAGGGGCACAGUAGAUCAGAAAAUACCUUUUGGAUGGAAGACACUCCAGUGGUGGUGAGAGAGAUGGUGGCUGCAGAGGAGAUGAGAAAUAUUCCCCAAACGACUGAAUGAUUUGCUUAGGGACGAUUGGACUGGCCUAAUGGUUUUAUUGGCGGCCAUGCUUCAGUCACCUGAGAAGUUUUGAUGGUAGUCUAGAGCUUUCUGUUUUUCUACCGGGUUUCCAUUUUAUUUUUGUUGUUUCAGAUGUCUUUUGGUUUUUUUAACUGUUUAUUAUUGGUUCUUUUUCUUUGGUUUUUUAAUGGAGAUCACGGUUUUAUCAAAAAAAAAAUCAACUGUGGAUAAAAGUACUAUGGAUACCCUUAUAUUAAAGGUAGACAUGUAUUUUGCUUUCUCUACUUAAAAAAUGAGUAAAUUAAUUUUUGUACGUUAUAUUAAAGAGCAAAUUGGUCAUUUUGUUUCAAAAUUUCAUCCAUUUCUACUGUUCAAAUGGUUAAUGUAUGUAAAUAUAAAAUACACGUGCCAUACCCUGUAUAACUGUCUGGUUAU